rnacentral:hammerhead_ribozyme from 1 species
AUCUAUCUUAUGAGUCCCAAAUAGGACGAAACGUGCAUCCUGGAU